GGGACACAGCCAGGCUGGACAAAGAGCUGCUGGCCCAGCUACUGCAGGGGCUAGAGCAAGAGGCUGAGAGCAAGAAACGCUUCCAGGACGACAAGGCUCGACAGCUGAAGAGCCUAGAGGAGAAAGUCUCGCGGCUGGAAGCGGAGUUAGAUGAAGAAAAGAACACUGUGGAACUGUUAACAGAUCGGGUGAACCGUGGCCGGGAUCAGGUGGAUCAACUGAGGACAGAGCUCAUGCAGGAGAGAUCUGCUCGACAGGACUUGGAGUGUGACAAAAUCUCCUUGGAGAGACAGAACAAGGAUUUGAAGACCCGGUUGGCCAGUUCCGAGGGCUUCCAGAAACCCAGCCCUAGCCUCUCCCAGCUUGAGUCCCAGAAUCAGCUGCUGCAAGAGCGACUGCAAGCUGAAGAGAGAGAGAAGACAGUUCUGCAGUCCACCAAUCGCAAACUAGAACGGAGGGUUAAGGAGCUCUCCAUCCAGAUUGAUGAUGAAUGGCAGCAUGUCAACGACCAGAAGGACCAGCUAACCCUGAGGGUGAAGGCUUUGAAGCGGCAGGUGGAUGAAGCAGAAGAGGAAAUUGAGCGGCUGGACAGCCUGAGGAAGAAGGCACAGCGGGAACUGGAGGAACAGCAUGAGGUCAAUGAACAGCUCCAAGCCCGGAUCAAAUCCUUGGAAAAGGAUGCCUGGCGGAAAGCUUCCCGCUCAGCUGCUGAGUCAGCCCUCAAACAAGAGGGGCUGAGCUCUGAUGAGGAGUUUGACAACGUCUACGACCCCUCAUCCAUUGCAUCACUGCUUACUGAGAGCAACCUGCAGACUAGCUCAUGUUAGCUCAGGCUCUGCUCAGGACCACAAACGGGCUUGUGGUCAAGCCUAUCCCAGCCAGCCCUGCUCUGCUCUGCUCUGUCU
rnacentral:lncRNA from 1 species